AAGAUUUUAAGUUAAACAAACUAUUAACCUUCAAAGUUAAAUUUACCAAUAAAACUUAGUAAAUCUUA
rnacentral:tRNA from 1 species